CUGGUAAAGUUGUGCACGCAGAUUGGCGUGCGCUGUGGCGAACAACAGUGCUGCUAAAGGAGGAUUUGGUCUCCGGGAAUUUUCACCAAACACCAUUUAAGCAGCGCAGAUAAGGCCUUAAUCGGACAGAGAUAAGGGACCAUCCACACGAGUUAUUGAUGCUUCUCUGACCUGAUGUUCAAGCCUGAAUGGGCUUUUUGCGAAGAUGGACGAGCAAAUUUGCGACUGGACUUAUUUGAAAAGAGACAGUCUAUUGUGGAAAUGACUGUCACAACAUUGCUGCCAAGCUCAUCCCCCGGUGAAUCGUGGGUAUUCGCUGAGAUACGUGUGCAGGGGAUAAUAAUUGCUUUUUGCUCAGUAGGAAAGGAGUGAAAGAAACAAACAAACAAACUCAAUUUCCAGGUUUUAUUUUUUUUGCAAUUUGCAGUUUCAACAGUCGGAGUUUGUUACAGCCAUGAAGCAGCUGGAGGGCAGUCGCGCAGGUGCGAGUGAAUACAGGAGGUCCUGAACUGACACUGGAAUUCUGUUCCUUAUGGUGACGUAACUGGAUUUUCACCCUAAGAUGGAACUUACAUACUGUACGUCACAGCAUGGAGUCUGGUACGAUGGUCCUCCUUCACCUGGACCGGCGGUGUGAAAACACAGCACUCUGCUACACACCAUUAAAAACCCUGUGUGAGGCAGGUUUUUGGAAGUAGGACAGAUGUUUGGAGGAGUUUAAAACCCGGAAAAUAAAGAGGGACCCGUGGAAAGCAGGAGGGAAACGGUCACGUUGUGUGUUUAAUGAAGACCAGCAGGGGGCCUCACUUUGAUAACAGCCAGCGGUUUCAGUCGCACAGAUCUUCACUUUGAUAGGAAAUUUUCAAGGUUGGUCUUCAUGGCUUAUUGGCCCAAAAAUAGAUAUAAGAACUUGGGUGGCCUUUGUCCUGUUAAAAACGCUGAGGUGAGUUAAAGUGAAGUGUCCUCCCUCAGGCUGGAGCUGUCCUGUCCUGUCCUGGCUACCGGCCACUGGAGUAUAGUAAGUCAUUUAUCUUUAGCACUGGACAUCAUGAUCAUAAUUAUUAAAAUGCUAUUUUAUUAGGGCAAUGACUUAAAAGUAAAAGAACCUCCAGGAUAUUCUUCUUGGGUUUUUUGUUUUUUUGUCUCUCUCUCUCCUUACCACAAUGUAAUUUGCAACCAGAGAGAUUGUAACCAUCAUACACAGUUUUUAUUUGUAAAAAAAAUGUAUUACUUUGUUUCUAACAGUGACUUUUCUUUUUCUUUCUUUCUU